rnacentral:rRNA from 1 species
CCGCGAUAGGUCAUCGCUUCUGGAAUGGGCAAUGGCUCAAACCUAUACGGCCCUAGGAUGGGACUGCGGCCGAUCAGGCUGUUGGUGGGGUAAUGGCCCACCAAACCUGUAACCGGUACGGGCUCUGAGAGGAGGAGCCCGGAGAUGGGCACUGAGACAAGGGCCCAGGUCCUAUGGGACGCAGCAGGCGCGAAACCUUCGCAAUUGGCGAAAGCCAGACGAGGUUAAUCCGAGUGAUUUCUGCUGAAGGAAUCUUUUGCCAGCUCUAAACCGGCUGGUGAAUAAGGGUGGGCAAGCCUGGUGUCAGCCGCCGCGGUAAUACCAGCACCCCGAGUGGUCGGGACGAUNAUUUGGCCUAAAGCAUCCGUAGCCGGCGCGUUAAGUCCUCCGUUAAAUCCGACUGCUCAACAGUUGGGCUGCGGGGGAUACUGAUGCGCUAGGAGGCGGGAGAGGCGAGGGGUAUUCCACGGGUAGGGGUAAAAUCCUCUGAUCCGUGGAGGACCACCAGUGGCGAAGGCGUCUCGCCAGAACGCGCUCGACGGUGAGGGAUGAAAGCUGGGGGAGCAAACCGGAUUAGAUACCCGGGUAGUCCCAGCUGUAAACGAUGUAGGCUCGGUGAUGGGUUGGGUUCGACCCAGCCCAGUGCCGCAGGGAAGCCGUUAAGCCUACCGCCUGGGGAGUACGGUCGCAAGACUGAAACUUAAAGGAAUUGGCGGGGGAGCACCACAAGGGGUGAAGCCUGCGGUUCAUUG